AGUGAACGCUGGCGGCAGGCCUAACACAUGCAAGUCGAACGGCAGCACAGAGGAGCUUGCUCCUUGGGUGGCGAGUGGCGGACGGGUGAGGAAUACGUCGGAAUCUGCCUAUUUGUGGGGGAUAACGUAGGGAAACUUACGCUAAUACCGCAUACGACCUACGGGUGAAAGCGGAGGACCUUCGGGCUUCGCGCAGAUAGAUGAGCCGACGUCGGAUUAGCUUGUUGGCGGGGUAACGGCCCACCAAGGCGACGAUCCGUAGCUGGUCUGAGAGGAUGAUCAGCCACACUGGAACUGAGCCACGGUCCAGACUCCUACGGGAGGCAGCAGUGGGGAAUAUUGGACAAUGGGCGCCAGCCUGAUCCAGCCAUGCCGCGUGAGUGAAGAAGGCCCUCGGGUUGUAAAGCUCUUUUGUCCGGAAAGAAAAGCGCUCGGUUAAUACCCAAGCGUCAUGACGGUACCGGAAGAAUAAGCACCGGCUAACUUCGUGCCAGCAGCCGCAGUAAAAC
rnacentral:rRNA from 1 species